UACGGGGGGAGCAAGCGUUGUUCGGAUUUACUGGGCGUAAAGGGCGCGUAGGCGGCCACUGCAAGUCAGUUGUGAAAUCUCCGGGCUUAACCCGGAAAGGUCAACUGAUACUGCAGGGCUAGAGUGCAGAAGGGGCAACUGGAAUUCUCGGUGUAGCGGUGAAAUGCGUAGAUAUCAGUCGGAACACCGGUGGCGAAGGCGGCUUCUUGGGCCUUUACUGACGCUGAUGCGCGAAAGCCAGGGGAGCGAACGGG
rnacentral:rRNA from 1 species